rnacentral:tRNA from 2 species
GCCCCGGUAGCUCAAGCGGACAGAGCAACGGCCUUCUAAGCCGUGUGCUGUGGGUUCGAGUCCCACCCGGGGCG